GCGGCAGGCCUAACACAUGCAAGUCGAGCGGUAGAGAGGUGCUUGCACCUCUUGAGAGCGGCGGACGGGUGAGUAAUGCCUAGGAAUCUGCCUGGUAGUGGGGGAUAACGCUCGGAAACGGACGCUAAUACCGCAUACGUCCUACGGGAGAAAGCAGGGGACCUUCGGGCCUUGCGCUAUCAGAUGAGCCUAGGUCGGAUUAGCUAGUUGGUGGGGUAAUGGCUCACCAAGGCGACGAUCCGUAACUGGUCUGAGAGGAUGAUCAGUCACACUGGAACUGAGACACGGUCCAGACUCCUACGGGAGGCAGCAGUGGGGAAUAUUGGACAAUGGGCGAAAGCCUGAUCCAGCCAUGCCGCGUGUGUGAAGAAGGUCUUCGGAUUGUAAAGCACUUUAAGUUGGGAGGAAGGGCAGUUACUUAAUACGUGACUGUCUUGACGUUACCGACAGAAUAAGCACCGGCUAACUCUGUGCCAGCAGCCGCGGUAAUACAGAGGGUGCAAGCGUUAAUCGGAAUUACUGGGCGUAAAGCGCGCGUAGGUGGUUCGUUAAGUUGGAUGUGAAAUCCCCGGGCUCAACCUGGGAACUGCAUUCAAAACUGUCGAGCUAGAGU
rnacentral:rRNA from 1 species